rnacentral:rRNA from 1 species
CGUGUAGGCGGUUUGGUAAGUCUGAUGUGAAAGCCCUGGGCUCAACCCAGGAAGUGCAUUGGAUACUGUCAGACUUGAGUACGGGAGAGGGUAGUGGAAUUCCCAGUGUAGGAGUGAAAUCCGUAGAUAUUGGGAGGAACACCGGUGGCGAAGGCGGCUACCUGGACCGAUACUGACGCUGAGACGCGAAAGCGUGGGGAGCAAACAG